AACGAACGCUGGCGGCAUGCCUAACACAUGCAAGUCGAACGAUACCUUCGAGUCUAGUGGCGCAGGGUUACGUAACGCGUGGGAACCUACCCUUAGGUUCGGAGUAACUCCCCUAGAGGGAUCGCAAGACCGGGGAAUGUCUUCGUGCCAAAGCUCUAUCGCCUGUAGGUGGGCCCGGGUUGGGUGAGUUACUUGGUAGGGUAAAAGCCGACGACGGCGACGUUCCAUAGCUGGUCUGAGAGGAUGAUCAGCCACACUGGGACUGCUACACGGCCCAGACUCGUAGGGGAGGCAGCAGUGGGGACUAUUGGGAAGCGGGCGCGAGCCUGGUGGAGCAAUGCCGCGUGAGUGAUGAAGGCCUUAGGGUCGUAAAGCUCUUUUAACCAGGAUGAUAAUGACAGUACCGGGUGAAUAAGCGCCGGCUAACUCCGUG
rnacentral:rRNA from 1 species